UACGUAGGGUGCAAGCGUUAAUCGGAAUUACUGGGCGUAAAGCGUGCGCAGGCGGUUUUGUAAGUCUGUCGUGAAAUCCCCCGGGCUCAACCUGGGAAUUGCGAUGGAGACUGCAAGGCUGGAGUCUGGCAGAGGGGGGUAGAAUUCCACGUGUAGCAGUGAAAUGCGUAGAGAUGCGGAGGAACACCGAUGGCGAAGGCAGCCCCCCUGGGCUAACACUGACGCUCAGGCACGAA
rnacentral:rRNA from 1 species